rnacentral:rRNA from 1 species
GAGCGGUAGAGAGAAGCUUGCUUCUCUUGAGAGCGGCGGACGGGUGAGUAAUACCUAGGAAUCUGCCUGGUAGUGGGGGAUAACGUUCGGAAACGGACGCUAAUACCGCAUACGUCCUACGGGAGAAAGCAGGGGACCUUCGGGCCUUGCGCUAUCAGAUGAGCCUAGGUCGGAUUAGCUAGUUGGUGAGGUAAUGGCUCACCAAGGCUACGAUCCGUAACUGGUCUGAGAGGAUGAUCAGUCACACUGGAACUGAGACACGGUCCAGACUCCUACGGGAGGCAGCAGUGGGGAAUAUUGGACAAUGGGCGAAAGCCUGAUCCAGCCAUGCCGCGUGUGUGAAGAAGGUCUUCGGAUUGUAAAGCACUUUAAGUUGGGAGGAAGGGCAGUAAAUUAAUACUUUGCUGUUUUGACGUUACCGACAGAAUAAGCACCGGCUAACUCUGUG